ACAUUGAGAUGAAUGAUUUAAGAUAGUGUUCUAACUGUCCAUAGAAUAAGUUUGAGUGUUCUGUUUUUCAGUGUUUGUAGUAAUUGUAGUAUAGUUUUGUUAUGUACGUAUUAUGUUCGACAUGUGAAAUAAUUGAGGCGCCAUCUGUUAUUAUUAUUUUUAAUCUGUUAAUUUUUCUUUCUUUGUGCAGAAUUGUAUUGAUGUGUUGACCUGAAAUUUCAUGAAGUUGCAAAACAAGAUACAUUUGUUUUAAUCAUUGUCGUGAAGGAAACGCAGAAACAUCAUUGUGGCGAUGAAAAUAUGAUAUUUGAUUACUCUUAAUCAUAUUUGAUUAAUCGUUUGCCAAGAGGAAGAUUCCCCGAGAGUAGCAAAUCAGCAAACCAACUUGUUUGUUCUCCGAGAAUGGAUGCUCCCGAAGAUUCCUCCCACUAUUUCACCGAUUUCACCUUGGCCGAGAUUGUAGACAUGGAGACUCUGUUCAAGGAGCUCGGUGAUCAAUCUCUCCUCAAAGACUUCUGUCAAACGGUUGCCUCCUCUUUUAGUUGCUCAGUGAAUCGGAAGGGAAAAUCAUCAAUAACAUGGAAACAAGUACAGGGUUGGUUUCAGGGGAGGCUAGAGAAGGAAAACCAACCCAAGUCCAAGACUGUGCCAUCUUCCCCUUUGCAGAUUGUUGACUUAUCAAAUCUCGGUGGUGGUGGUUCUGUCAGAAUCCCUGAAACUGUUACAUGUGGUGGUGAAAGACUGAAAGGUAAGGCCUCUGAUGUGUCUGAUCUCGCUUUUGAGGCUAAAUCUGCAAGGGAUGACGCGUGGUAUGACGUGGCUUCGUUCAUGACUUAUAGAUAUCUUCGCACUGGUGAACUGGAAGUGCGUGUCCGGUUUUCUGGGUUCGACAACCGACACGAUGAGUGGGUGAACGUGAACACGUCAGUGCGUGAGCGGUCUAUUCCUGUAGUACCAUCAGAGUGUGGGAGAGUGAAGGUUGGAGACUUGCUUCUGUGCUUCCAGUUAAUGAGCAGGAGAGGGAGGAUGAAGCACUGUACUGUGAUGCUCAUGUUGUGAACAUCAAGAGAGGGGUUCAUGAUCACAGGAGUUGUAACUGCGUGUUCUUUGUUCGCUACGAGUUUGACGGUACAGAGGAACCGCUGGGAGUAGAAUGUAUUUGCCGUCGUCCUGAAGAGUGAAUUUGUUUGGUCAUGAAGUUAUCUUUAGAAACAGGCUCUCACUGAUGAUACUCGGUAAACUAUGACCUAUAGAUCGUAUAUAACUGAACCAUUUUCCCAAGGGGUUCUGCAACUAAGUGUAAGCUUUUGCUAUCUAUAAUGUGAAAUAAAGUUCAAAAGGGGUUACUAGAAUGUAACCAAACCUAAA